rnacentral:rRNA from 1 species
CCUACGGGUGGCUGCAGUAGGGAAUAUUGCACAAUGGAGGAAACUCUGAUGCAGCGACGCCGCGUGAGUGACGAAGGCCUUCGGGUUGUAAAGCUCUGUUCUCAGGGAAAAAGAAAGUGAUUGUACCUGAGGAGAAAGGACCGGCUAACUUCGUGCCAGCAGCCGCGGUAAGACGAGGGGUCCAAGCGUUGUUCGGAAUCAUUGGGCGUAAAGCGGGUGUAGGUGGCUCUAUAAGUCAGGAGUGAAAGCCCUAAGCUUAACUUAGGAAGUGCUUUUGAUACUGUAGAGCUUGAAUGUGGGAGAGGAUCGUAGAAUUCCUGGUGUAGUGGUGAAAUACGUAGAUAUCAGGAGGAAUACCGGAGGCGAAGGCGGCGAUCUGGCCCAACAUUGACACUGAGACCCGAAAGCGUGGGGAUCAAACAGGAUUAGAUACCCUUGUAGUC